rnacentral:rRNA from 2 species
GCGUAAGCGCGCGCAGGCGGUUUCUUAAGUCUGAUGUGAAAGCCCACGGCUCAACCGUGGAGGGUCAUUGGAAACUGGGGAACUUGAGUGCAGAAGAGAAAAGCGGAAUUCCACGUGUAGCGGUGAAAUGCGUAGAGAUGUGGAGGAACACCAGUGGCGAAGGCGGCUUUUUGGUCUGUAACUGACGCUGAGGCGCGAAAGCGUGGGGAGCAAACAGGAUUAAAUACCCUGGUAGUCCACCCCGUAAACGAUGAGAUGCUAAGUGUUAGAGGGUUUCCGCCCCUUACUGCUGCAGCUAACGCAUUAAGCACUCCGC